rnacentral:rRNA from 1 species
CCUACGGAGGGCAGCAGUGAGGAAUAUUGGUCAAUGGGCUUACGCCUGAACCAGCCAAGUCGCGUGAGGGAAGACUGCCCUAUGGGUUGUAAACCUCUUUUGUCAGGGAGCAACGCCGGCUACGUGUAGCCGGACUGAGAGUACCUGAAGCAAAAGCAUCGGCUAACUCCGUUCCAGCAGCCGCGGUAAUACGGAGGAUGCGAGCGUUAUCCGGAUUUAUUGGGUUUAAAGGGUGCGUAGGCGGAAUGCCAAGUCAGAUGUGAAAUCCACGGGCGCAACCCGUGAACUGCAUUUGAAACGAGUUCCCUUGAGUGUCGGAGAGGUAAUCGGAAUUCCUUGUGUAGCGGUGAAAUGCGUAGAUAUAAGGAAGAACACCAGUGGCGAAGGCGGAUUACUGGACGAUAACUGACGGUGAGGCGCGAAAGCGUGGGGAGCAAACAGGAUUAGAUACCCGGGUAGUC